UGUGUUUGUGUGUAUGUGUGUACUUUGCAGUGGACAAGCCUUAAAAGGAAUAUCCUCCGUUAUUGGCAUCCUCAUGCUUUUCUUUGUCUUGCGGAUAAACAUUUCUUCUGUGGCUUGGUCCCACGACAGUUUUAUGGCAAAUUUAAAGCUAAUAAUAUUGAGAGAAACACAUUUUUACUUCUAGUCAAUGAGGCUAGUUCAGUGAACCACCAAAAAUUUUCAGUUACUUAGUUUGGCGGGCAUCAUGUUAAAUCCAGUCCUGCCCUUUGCUAAACGGUACAAGAUCCAGCGAUGUUCUAGGCUUGAUCCCAGUGGGACACCGUUCCCUACCCCAUAUCCGGGAGCUACAAUUCAAGGGAGUUUGUAACCCUCUAGAACUAGAAAAGGACCAGUAAAAAAUGCACAGACUUUAACUUUUCUGCCUCCAGCCUACAUUCUACUAUGCUCCGAGUCCUGCCAUAGAGAGAUGAGAGAAACAGGAAGUGGCAGCUUAUUAAAGAUGUUUGUACCUGACGUGUAUGGACUCCAGUUGACUUUUAUAACAAGGUCAAAAGUGAGUCCCACAGACAGGAACCAAAGUCAGUAGAACAAAGCAGCCCCAGAUGUGUUCUGUUAUCUGCGGUAAAUGAUAAUCAACCCUAAGGGCCUUUGGGAGGUAAUUCUAUUUAGAUGAAGACAUUGAGUUGGUCCCUCCAAGGUGGGAUUAGUGUCCUUACAAGAAAAGAAAGAGAGCAGAGCUUCCUCUCUACCAUAUGAGGAUACAUCAAAAGAAGAACCAUCUGCAAGUCAGGAAGAGGGACUUCACCAAGAACUGGAUCUGCCUGUACCUUGAUCUUGGACUUCUCAGUUUCCAGAACUCUAGAGAACCUCCAUAAACUACCACCAAAAUCCUGGAUCUGUUUCCCAGCAUGAAUUAAUCUUCCCAUGUUUUCAUUACAUUUGAACGUCAGCAAUGUGUAGACAGAAGUAGUUCAUCCUGGGAGGUGAGAAUGAGCUUUGAGAGAAAGCCAUCAGUGAAGCCGAAGGCUGGGAAAAAAAGUGAAGCAGCAUAUGGAACUGUUCAUCUCUGGGGCAGGGAGAAAUCAUCCAGAGAAGAGGAAUCACACCUCAUUUAUAACCUGCUACUUUCAAAACACAGUACCAACUGAGGACAUUGCAGCCUGAAGAUUGCUUACUGUGAUGAUAACCUUGUUCCCUGUAGCAUGAACAUCCUUCUCUGGGCAAGAAGAUGAGGAAAUUAUUUAUCCCCCACUCUAUCCAU